rnacentral:rRNA from 1 species
UACGUAGGUCCCGAGCGUUGUCCGGAUUUAUUGGGCGUAAAGCGAGCGCAGGUGGUUUAUUAAGUCUGGUGUAAAAGGCAGUGGCUCAACCAUUGUAUGCAUUGGAAACUGGUAGGCUUGAGUGCAAGAGAGGAGAGUGGAAUUCCAUGUGUAGCGGUGAAAUGCGUAGAUAUAUGGAGGAACACCGGUGGCGAAAGCGGCUCUCUGGCCUGUAACUGACACUGAGGCUCGAAAGCGUGGGGAGCAAACAGG